AAUACUUUACUUUUCUUCUUCUCUCUCAAACGUUGGAAAAUGUUUUCUUCUCUUCAUUUCUGCUGCAAACCAAAACCCUAGCAGUUUUCUUCGCAUUUUUUAGUCUCCAAUAGAAAUCUUGGAUUCUUGUCCACGUUUCAAGAUUGUGGUCUUAUCUUGUGAUAUUGUAUUCAUUUUACACAUUUUUUCGAACUCGUCUUCUACAAAAUCACUUGUUAUUGUUGAUCUUCGAAAGAUUUGCUGUCGCACUAUGAACUGUGCCUUGUUAGUCAAACAGGUAGACAUUCAUACAGAUCUAUGUGUUCUUUGGUUUGUUGUAAUUCUUUCUAGUCUUAUUGCAGGUUUUCUACAUAGUUUUUUAACUAUUUUUGAAAAGCCCCAAUUUUUAGGAGUUUGUAGACGAGUGGAAAUUUCAGAAUAGGAAUUGAGUUUUAUGACCAUUUCACGUGAAGGGUUUAAAAUUUGAAAGGACCCAAUUUUCAGGACUUUAAGUGUAGACGGGUGGAAAUUUCUGAAUGGGAAUUGGAAAUAUAUAAUUUUUACAAUAUUGAAAAAAAUUAGGUGUUCAUUUUUGGCUUUGGUUUCUUAAGAUUUACUUUUUAAAAUUCCUAAAUAUGUCUUCAAUAAUUUCUUUCUAUUUUUUUGUGCCAAUUGGCCUUUUGUUGUUUUCAAUAUAUUGAAUUUCAAUCUUGUAAAUUAUUUUAAUUGUUAGUUUGUCAUUUCAUCCAUUCGUACCAGUUGAAUCUUACGUUUGUUCAUUGAUAUUGUGCAAGAUUUGACUAAUAAAGUCUAUUGGGAUCUUUGUCGUUUUCAUUUUGUGCUAGCAACGGGUAUGAGUACUUAUACUUUAAGGUUUAAUAUUACUUUAGUGUAAUUACAUGUUGCAUUACAAUGUUGCUAUUCUGUUCAAAAGAUUGUAAAUUUUUAUUAAAUGCCUCUUUAUUAUUUAUUUAUUGCUUUUUCCUUUUCUUUUUGCCUGUUUUGGUCAUUUAGUUUUAUGUUAGUGUAAAUGUCCUACUUGUAUUUAUAUCCAUGGUUAUGAAAGAGAGUGUUAUGUGGUUUAUCUACUUGUUUGGCUGUCGAGGCAAAUUAUUGAAAAUAUUGAGUUUUUAUGGUAAAGGAAGAAAUUGAUGGCAUGAAAAUUAUACUUACCUUCACAGAAGAAGAGAAACACAAAAAAUAUAAAAUAUAAAAUAUAAUAAAAAAAUUAGGAAAUCUACACUAAAUGACAAAAUUGAAGGCAUGAUAAUUAUACUUACCUUCAGCGAAGAAGACAAACGGAAACGACGUUGAAUAGUGAUGAAAUUGGAGAUCGUUGAAGGAUUUUCUUUUGGUUUCUUCAAAGGUUGCUAAAAGAAGAAACGGCGUUGUAGUCAUCGAUUGAAUACACCCCCUUAAUCUAUUUUUUUUCCUUUUGAGAUUUUGAAUAUCUUAAUGUGUGGAAUAUAUACAAAUUUCAUUCAUUAAUGUGCUGCAGUUUGUUUUCUUUGGAUUAAUUGAUCGAUUUAAUUAUAACUAAUAGUCCUCUUAGAUCAUUUUGUGUUUGAAUUCGCUAAAGUAGCCAAACCUUUAAUUUGCUUUCCUUCUUUCUUUUUUGGAUUAGUGGAAUACAUGUGUUAGAUCAUCGUGUGUUUGAAUUAACUAAAGUAACAAAACUGUUAAGUUGCUUUUUAUUUUUUCCUUUUUGGACUUGUGGAAUAUAGUGGGUUGCAUGAUUUGAUGGCUAAAUUGGGUAUUCAUUAUUGUCUACAUUUAAAAUGAAUGAAAAUAGGUGCUUAAAUGUUGUUAUAUGAAUAUAAUGAAUUAAGUUUUCUAGAAAAUGGAAUUACAUAAUAAAUGUAGAAAUGGGUUAUGAGUUAGAAGUAGCGAUACAUAAAUAGCAAAUUGAAACUCGUAAUGAAAGACUUGAUGUUAAACGAAAAAUGCAGAAGCGCUCCUUUUUGAAGUCCCCUUUAAACAAAAAUAAUCUAUGUGAGUUGUUGGCAUGGUGAAGUCUUCGAUAAUUUUUGAUUUCGAAUGCCAAAUAGGUAUGUUAUUGUUGCUUGGAACACACAUUUUCUUAAGUUAAAAUGGAAAAUGUAAAAUGAAAAGAGAAAAUGCAAAACCAAAAGAAAUUCAAGAAUCCCAACCUGCUUCUUUUGCACGUGACUAAAUAAUUGAAGGGAAAAUUAGAAAUUAAUUAUUUUUUUAUUUAACUACAUGCCUGAUGUCCAUAUAAAAUUAAAAUAGUAAAAUGAAGAAUGAAAUAUUUAAGGGACACAUAAAUCAUUUUGUUGUCUUUUUAAUUGCUGAGUAAUCAAUUAAUUGAUGCAGUUAAUAUACGUGAUUGGUAUGGGACCCAUGUACACUUAGUAUUGCACUUCCUUAUUUACUGAAAUUAAUUCUUUAUCACAUAUGCAGUAUUAGUAUUAAAUUAUACAAACUCAUUUGUUUAAUCUUUUAGGCUGUCAAUAAUCUGCAUCAUUAAAUACUAGAAAGAGCAAAUAACAUAAUGAUAUCUUUAAAAUUCCUACAUUGCUUUAGUUUGAAUGGUUAUAGUUUGUAUGUUUUAGAAAGUGCAAUUUAUGCUAUGUUAGUUAUCAUGUUUUUACAUGUUGUCAAUAGGUUAAUGUCUCAUACAAUUCUAUGUAGGCAGAUUUAUUUUGCAUAAAAGUUCAGUUUCCACAUAUGUAUGAUGUAAUAUAUGUGCUAAUAGCUUUUUUCAAUUCUUUUAGUUCUUGUUGGUAACUUUGGGCUUCAAUUAUUCGAUAAGUUAUCUAAUUGUUCUCAUGGAUGUUUCGGAAACAUGUUCUAAUGGAGUGACUGGUUCUUUGAAUUUCGAAACAAUGUCCCAUCGUCAACAAUAGAACCAAAGGCAAAGGGAUAGGCGAAAUCGACUUAGAAUUGGAUGCAAUGAUCGUCGCAAGAGGAUAAAUGAUCCCAUAUCAUCUCAAAUUAAUAAUUCCAGCAUUGAAAGAGUGCAACAAUCUAUAGUGCACCAUGAUUUUGAGGCUUCUACUUCAAACCAAGAGACACAUGAUAUUUCCAAUUUUUCAUUACGAAGUAGUUUUAAUGCACUGAACAUACCAAUGAUUUCAUAUGUAUUACAGACAUGCAAUAGCUAUAAAUAUUGUGGUGCAAGAAAAUUUUAUAAAGAAAGUAAAGGCUUCUGUUACUUAGAUGGAAAAGUUCAUCUCUGUAUUCCUGAUUCAUCAAUUGAACUGUACAACUUGUUUACUUCCAAAGAAUCUCAAUGUAUGGAAUUUAAAAAGAUUGCGAGGGG
rnacentral:lncRNA from 1 species